UGCUUGGCGGCGUCCUACUCUCACAGGGGGAAACCCCCGACUACCAUCGGCGCUGAAGAGCUUAACUUCCGUGUUCGGUAUGGGAACGGGUGUGACCUCUUCGCUAUCGCCACCA
rnacentral:rRNA from 1 species